GGGAAAGAAUGCUCUAAGAUAAAGGAGAAACAGCACCUAGCCUAGAUGGAGGUAGAACAAGAUGGGAGAAAGGAAAGUGGAAUGGAAUUAGGGAAGUAGGGAUGGGAGUCAAGAGAAGCCUUCCAGGAGACAGUCCACCAGUUUGAAAUGUGAGGAGGCAAUCAGACAAGCCGGAGAGGCAUGGUGAGUGAUGUUCGACCAUGUUUCAAAGGGAGUGUCUAGCACGUGCAGUCUUGUCUCUG
rnacentral:lncRNA from 1 species